CGACAAAUUCCUCAGUCCCGCAAAUCCCGCGGGAUCCCGCUCCAUUUAUGUGCUAAUGUGCAGGAUUAAUCCCACAAAAAUGCUGCGGGAUCCCGGUAUUUCGGGAUCCCGCAAUUCCGGUAUUGCAUUCCCUAAUUCCAUCGCUUCCAGUUAUACCAAUACAGAAAACUGAAAGGAAUGGGAACUGCGAUGUAUAGUAAUGUAGGAGCUAGCACCGAAACGAUUUUCAAUAAAAGAUUAACGUACGUUUAGAACUAAAUUGUCCUGAAUGAACCAAAGCUCAUUUUCAUUACGGUUAACUUCACAAAAAUACCCGAAAGAUUUUGAACCACUACAUCUGGACUGUCUUUAAGUUGUGUUUUCCACGACGCUGUAACUCUUACGAGUUGCUAAAACAGUACUUGCACCAGUAAUGAGGAUUAGUCUAUACUGAGUACUAGAAUGGCAAUUUACACGAUACGAGCAGUACUCGCUUUUAGCAACCUUUACGAGUUACUAGUGCAGUGUAAAACAGCCUUAACGGUUUUAUCAAAACAUAAAAGUUCUACUUGUAUAAACCUUUGAUCAUAACGAAUCAUUUCAUAAACUACAAACAAAAAUAAAUUUUACUUUCUAGAGAAAUAGCCCAGAAUUUUUAUUGUUUUGCACCGAGACGUCUUGCUUUCUUGUUACGCUACUACGGAGUUUCAUCAUAGUUAACCAGAAACCUUGCAAAAACAUUCUCGUACACUUUGUAAUAUUUCUAGGUUGUAAGUGCCAGUGUCAUUUGGAGGCUCUAUGAAUCAUGAAGUCAAGCCUGGCGGGGGCAAUUGGGACAGCCCAGGAUGUAACUGAGAGAAUCUUGCUUUUUUCCGAUGGUGGUGGUUAUUUUUGACGUUACUACAUUUUCUUUUUGUCUGAUUAUCAAAUUUUCUGCUUACAGUUCCUCUUUUAGGGGAAUUUUUCGAAAGAAAAUAAAAUUCCCCUUAUGUGAUGGUUUUGUCCGUCUGUGCCUCGCCUAACUCGAGAAUGAAGAGAGAUAGUGAUGUCAAACUUUCGCCAAUCGAUUUCUACGAGUUCAAGAAUCGGUGCUAUUGAAUAUGAGCCGGAUUAAAAAUCUGGUUUCCAAAUGCAAGCUGAGUGGCACUGCAAAUCGUAUGCGAUUAAUGAUUGACGUUACUGCUUUUUUGUGACUGAUUAUGUAUUUUUAUCCAUACGAUUGCUAUUUUUUUUAAAUAUUAAUCACGAACUGAGGGCGAAGAUAAUUGGGGAGAAAUUUUACCUUUUCCUGGUGGUGGUGAGAUGUAAAACUUUUUCGACGCCAUUGAUUUUUUUGUGACUAGCAAUGAAAUUUUCCUCUUAUAAUUUCUAAUUUAAGAUUCAAUUGCCGGAAGGUAACGAACUGAGGGCGGGGGAAAUUGGGCAGGUUGUAGAUGAGAGAACCUUUUCAUGGUGGUGGUGAGAUGUUAUGUUUUUGUUGUAUUUGAUUAUUAUGAAAUUUCCUCCUUACAAAUUCUAAUUUUUUUUAUUUUAUUUGCAGAUUUAAUAUAUAUUUGGUGGAAUGGUUACGAACUGUGAGAGGGCGCAAUUGGAACAGGAGAUUGAUCUACUGCGGUAGUCACGAACACAGGACGGGGGCAAAUUUGGACGGGAUGUAUCUGAGAGAAUCUUGCUUUUUUUCCAGUGGUGUUGAGAUGUAAAACUUUCUUUUGACGCGAUUGCUUUUUUGUCGCUGAUAAUGAAAUUUUCCCCUGACAAUUUCUAAUUUUUUGUUUUUAUUUAAGAUUCAUCUGCUGGAAUGGAGACGAACUGAGGGCGGGGGCAAUUGGGGCAGGUUGUACCUGAGAGACCUUACCUUUUCACGUUGCAGAUUCAUUGGACAUGCACUGAGGGAGGACGCAAAUUGCCUUUUCCUGGUAUUGGGGAAAUGUAAAAUUUAUUUUUAACGUUCCUAAUUUUUUUGUAACUGAUUAUGUACUUUUACUUUACGGUUCUAAU